rnacentral:rRNA from 1 species
UGAGGAAUAUUGGUCAAUGGGCGGAAGCCUGAACCAGCCAAGUCGCGUGAGGGAAGACGGCCCUAAGGGUUGUAAACCUCUUUUGCCGGGGAGCAAAAGCGCCGUGCGCGGUGCUAUGAGAGUACCCGGAGAAAAAGCAUCGGCUAACUCCGUGCCAGCAGCCGCGGUAAUACGGAGGAUGCGAGCGUUAUCCGGAUUUAUUGGGUUUAAAGGGUGCGCAGGCGGCGCGCCAAGUCAGCGGUCAAAGUUCCGGGCUCAACCCGGUGUCGCCGUUGAAACUGGCGUGCUCGAGUGCGUGCGAGGAAGGCGGAAUGCGUUGUGUAGCGGUGAAAUGCAUAGAUAUGACGCAGAACUCCGAUUGCGAAGGCAGCUUUCCAGCGCGCUACUGACGCUGAGGCACGAAAGCGUGGGGAUCGAACAGGAUUAGAUACCCUGGUAGU